AGUAAACAAUUAUCCUUUUUACUCAGUGUGUAGAUCAAAAGCUGUGAUCGUGCAUGCAUGAAAUUAUUUUGAGAUGGACUUAAAAGUAACCUGUAAAAGAUUUUUAAAAUAGGUUUUGUCCUUUCUCUCCUUUUCCCUCCUACUUCCUUGGGUUUAUAAAGAAUCCUGGCAUGCUUCCCUUUCUCACCCCGCUUAAAAAGUUUAUUUUGCUUGUUUUUGCUUUAGAAAUAUCAAGGAAUAUCAAACAUGAUCUGGUUUUUGCUUUGCUGGAAGACCUCUGAGUGCCAAGCCAUCUGAAAUUAUUGGAAGCUGUUGUAUGUUUGUUGACAGGGAGUUGUGCUAACAAAGAACCACGACCAAAAGUCCAGGGGCAAGACGCUGCCUGCCAGACCUGAUGCCCAGGAUGUGCAGCAUUCCAGGUGAUAUUUAGAAAACUUCCAUGGGUGGAACUUGGAACUCGCUGGGGGUGGCAACCAGCCCACUAAUGAAUGAAGAGUGAAGAGAAGAGUGAAAUAUGUUCAGAUUUGCAGGUUUUGGGGUUUUUUUAUUUACAUUUUGUAUAUAUUUUGUAUUGUUAAG